GGAAAAUAAGGCCUAAGAUGACACGCAGGGUCUUUAUUAAGAUAGUGGCUCUUGGUUUUCUAGAGCCAGUGAUUGAUCAGAAUUUGUACUAUUUGGGACUGAAGAGUACAACUGCAACUUAUGCAUCUGCUUUUGUUAAUCUCCUCCCAGCAGUAACCUUUAUUCUGGCUGUAGUUUUCAGAAUUGAGAAGGUAAAUUUGAAGAAAAAAUCA
rnacentral:misc_RNA from 1 species